rnacentral:snRNA from 1 species
AUCGCUUCUCGGCCUUAUGGCUAAGAUCAUAGGUGUAGUAUCUGUUCUUAUCAGCUUAAUAUCUGGUACGAUUCUCAUCGAGAAUCCAGUAUAUUAACCUGACUUUUAAACUUUACGGAACUAUGGAGCUUGCUCCGAGUCUGUCAUGAGUUGCCCGGUAUUGCAGUGGCGCCGGAGUCAGCUUGAUAAUA